rnacentral:lncRNA from 1 species
CCAAGGGACCCCCCUGGAGCCCACCACCCCCUCUUCCUCCCAACUCCCCAUCUUGGAGGGGGUGGGGGGGGGGACACCCCCACGAGGGGAUCGAGGCACCAGCCAAGAAGGCGGAGGAGAUGGCGGAAUUCUUGUCUCUGUUCUGAGGGUAGGCCGAUCCCGCCUGUCACGUCCCGAUUUCCCCCCCCUCUCGUUUCCCACCCCGUCUCCCUCCGUUCACCCUGGCGCGCGCACGCGCACACGCCCGGACCCCCCGCACAACCCGUACACACGCGCGCUCGGACCCCCGCCCGGCCCAUUCGGACGCCCACCGCGCCCGCACACUCGCACCACACACGACACCCAGACGCGCACACCCUCUCCCCAUCCC